GGGGUCUCAAAAGGGGUGCAGCGGUACACCGAACGCUCUGGAAACCUGUAUCAAUGGCUGCUAUCCGGUGCAUGCUCACUGCCUUGUACAUUGCUAUCGGUGUCCUACCUCAAGUGCACGCCCUGAAUACUGGACAGUUGCAAUGUCACCGCCCUGUUAUUGAUGGCAGGGUGACCGCUUGCACUUAUCCGUGUGCCAUGACUUCUGCAAUAACAGAUCAACAUGUUUUCUUUCUUCAUGAGCCAAAUUGGACGCCAUGCAUGUAUGGCUAUUGCUUCGAUGGACACUGCCACACAGAAGAGAAUCAUCAUGCAUG